rnacentral:lncRNA from 1 species
UAUAACUACCUUAGUAACUAAAACUUUGUUCUAAUUCCUUUCCGUAGUCUAUUUUAAUUAUUGGACAUGUAGAAGUGAUGGAAUCCUGCCUAACCGUGUCCUCUUUUUCGUAUAUUUUACAUUUUAUUAUACACGUUAUUUUUAGUUUUCAUGGAGCAUGGGUUACUAUAAGUACACAUCUCCACCAUUGUAUUUAACACUUUUGAGAUGAAUGAGAAUUAGAUUUUUGAAACCCAAAAUUAAUUCUCCCUUGAAAGUUAAACUAAAGAGUCCUAAGGAUUCGCCUCUAGCCACCUUCCAAGCACACACCUCCAUUUUUCAUUUUCCAUUAAUUUCUCUCCUUCACUACGCGUAGCUCAUUCUCUCCAUUUCAAAUGCUUGCAUCAACUGCCACAUCUCUUGCUCUUUGAUGCGUCAACGCCUUCCACGCCACAUCUUCAUUUUCUAGUCUCGAGCAUCUUACUCUCAUUAUUCCUUUGUGUCCUCUUCAUUAGUGUUUCCUCACCGUUCUAGGGUUCCUUUGUGUCCAAUUAAGGUUUUCACCGU